GAAGCGGUUGACACGGAGCCAAAACCUAACCCUAAUCCUUCAAAUUUUGGUGGAGAAAUGUCAGAGGGAAAACCAAGAAGCAAAUCAAUUUGGGGAGAGAUGGUUUGACUCACAAUAUGCUGAAUGAUAUUCAUAACCAUUGGAAACAUGAAGAAGCAGUGAGGAUAAAAUGUCAAGGUGGUCCAACUAUUGACAUGAGAAAUGUUUGCACCCAGCUCGAGGAGCUUUGUUUUUGUUACUGUUGGAACAAUUAAGGUUCAGA